CAGUAGCCACGGGAAUACGAGGGGUGCAAGCGUUGUCCGGAAUUAUUGGGCGUAAAGCGCGCGCAGGCGGAUCAGUCAGUCUGUCUUAAGAGUUCGGGGCUUAACCCCGUGAUGGGAUGGAAACUGCUGAUCUAGAGUAUCGGAGAGGAAAGUGGAAUUCCUAGUGUAGCGGUGAAAUGCGUAGAUAUUGGGAAGAACACCAGUGGCGAAGGCGACUUUCUGGACGAAAACUGACGCUGGGGCGCGAAAGCCAGGGGAGCGAACGGGAUUAGAUACCCCUGUAGUCCCUGUCUCUUAUACA
rnacentral:rRNA from 1 species